AUUGAACGCUGGCGGCAUGCUUUACACAUGCAAGUCGAACGGUAACAGGCCGCAAGGUGCUGACGAGUGGCGAACGGGUGAGUAAUGCAUAGGAACGUGCCCAGUCGUGGGGGAUAACUACUCGAAAGAGUAGCUAAUACCGCAUACGAUCUAUGGAAGAAAGCGGGGGACCGUAAUGCUUCGCGAGAGUGGUGCGGUCGGUGUCAGAUUAGGUAGUUGGUGGGGUAAAGGCUCACCAAGCCAACGAUCGGUAGCUGAUCUGAGAGGACGACCAGCCACACUGGGACUGAGACACGGUCCAGACUCCUACGGGAGGCAGCAGUGGGGAAUUUUGGACAAUGGGCGCAAGCCUGAUCCAGCAAUGCCGCGUGCAGGAAGAAGGCCUUCGGGUUGUAAAAUGCUUUUGUACGGAACGAAACGGCUCUGGUUAAUACCCGGGGCUAAUGACGGUACCGUAAGAAUAAGCACCGGCUAACUACGUG
rnacentral:rRNA from 1 species